AUCCUGCAAUCACAAAAUAACGAAUACAUCAAGCUUUUCUAUGCUAUACAAUGCUAUAGUGUGUGACAGUGUUUAUAGCGAGGCACAGUGAUUUCAAAUCCCAUAAAUCAUGGCCAAGUUUUAAUCAUCAAAUAAUGACAUGUUACUGUUCGGGGUUGGGAGAAGGAUGAGCAAAUUAUCAGAAAGUAUUUUGUGAUUCCUUACAUCCGGAAGAAUAUAUCUGAGAGAGCAACAUCUUUAAUAAAUAAGAAUAUUUUCACGAUAGGAUAUAGAUGUCUUAAUAAAAUUAAUAACGUUAUCAAAGUUCACAAAAGUAAAACUGAAUUUGACUGUAAAAACAAUGUCGUCUACAAAAUCUAUUGUAAGGAUUGUAAUGCCUCAUAUGUGAGACAAAGAGACAACUAAAGACUAGAAUAAAGGAACAUAUUAAUAAGUUUCUAGAUA